rnacentral:lncRNA from 1 species
CCUUCUUCCUUUAGCCACAAGGCCAAUGCUUCGACAACUUCAUCAUCUUCCUCAUAUUCAUCGUUGCUUGCUCUGCCUCAAUUCCUCUGUACACCGUGUUCAUCAGGCUUUACACAGUUCAAGCUUCACGCCAAAUUAGGUACUUUAUAUCUCUUUCAAAUCAGGAUUUUCCUAUCUAUUUUUUUUUAUUAAGAGAAAGACUUUCUUUAUACCUGAUCCUGCUUAAGGUGGAGGAGAUGGAGAAGUGAAACCUAAAGAAAAGAAGAAGUUCAUAACCAAAGAAGAAGAACCAGAG